rnacentral:lncRNA from 1 species
GGGGGAGGGAUUCAAGUCAUCAGCAAAAUAAAUGGUAGCCCCCAGAUUUUAGAGCUUAGCCAAGGGUUUGUCCAUCUGCAAAACAAGGUCUGGCACUACACCCCCACAGAAGAACAAAUUGCACAGCUUAUGGUUCAGAAGGCUGCACAGGAAGAGAUAGUACUCUCCAUUUACCAAAUGUUUUCUGACUCUUUCCGCUAAUCGGGAAUCUCCAUUAGAAAGUGACACCAGGUGUGUGUCACUGAGGUUCACCCACUCUCAGGCCUGCUGGUGCCUUCCAGACCCUUUGAUCCUCUGUUCCCAUUGUCUCCUGAAACCAAUCCUUUCCAUUUUGUAUUUUUCCUUCUAGAUCACCUGAUACCUCCAAGCAAGCAGGUGUUCUUUUCAGAAGCCAGAAGCUGAUAACCUGGGCUUUCUGAUCUAACCCCAGCCCAAAUUCAUUGCAAUGGAGGAAUUGGGGAGGAGAUUCUUCCUACUGAGAAGUGGGUGCCAACUCUCCCUUUCAAAUUUGUUCAUCAACUAACUAAAGGGGAUGCCAGAAAUGUCUGGAGCAAUGGAAGAACCACUGGAAUAAUGCUCCUGCCUGAUUGCAUCUACUUAACCCACUCUCCAAGAGCCAGAAUCAGAUUUCAACCGUAUGGAAUCAUCUACAAUGCAGCAGAUGGGUUUACAAGUCUCUUGGUCUCUUCGUGUAAUUAACAGCCAAGAAGUCUAAAGCUUGCAUUGUUUACGUGGAAGAUGUUUCUUGCCCAUUCCCACGCCAUGCCAUCUGAAAUCGCUCCUUUUUUUAUUUUUUCUGUGCAGUUUUUUUAACUUUGUGGGAUCCUCUGCAUAUAAAACUCCAUUCAACUACUUCAUCCUACUGUAGAAAGCUACUUCCCUAUGAGUUUAGCUCCAUGAUUUACAAUGGUUUCUUUUCCCAUUUGCUGUCUGAAUUAUGUUUCGCAAGAACCCUUUGAAAUAAGGAAGGCAUGUAUCAUCUUUCCCUUUUACAGGCAAAGAAACUGAGGCACAGAAAGGCUUAGUAGUAGGUGAUCCUGCAAGAAUUCAAAUGACUUGUCUGGUUCUAAGUUGAGUGCUCUUUUUCUGAUGCCGCAUGUCUUUUCUCCAGAGAAGUAACCUACCUAGACCCAGAGGGAGCUUGAAGAGAGAUUUUCAUCUUACUGUGAGAAAACAAAGACCCAGAGAGUGGAGGGUUUAAGACCAUCCCGGUCAUUGCCAUUAUUUCUUUUCAAAGAGACAGAGGCCUCUGUGUGGAGCUGCUUCUGUGUUUGUGGUGUGAAUUUUGCUGGUGAGAUGUGAGACUCAAAAGAAAUCUGAGAGAUUGUGUCUGACCUUAAGGAAUUUACUAAGAAACCAGGGAAAUAAAGCUGUCUUACAAGAUGCUUAAAACAACAACUAAAGGCAGCCUUAGAUUGGGAGGUACUCCUUCCAAGAUAGAAAUUUCUUAACCUUUGCUUUGAAGUCUGGUUUCUUUUUCAAGAUCCAGAAGCAUAAUCCGUAGUUAGAUUUAGGUUCAAGCCCUUCCUAACUGAUCAUGUUCUAAAUUCCUAUAGUGGUCAUCAAUGUCAUGUCAGCUCAUGUGAAGGUUUUUUCUCCCUUUUUUUUUAGUGGUGAGGAAAAGAUGUAGUAGUAUUUUUCAUGGACUUUGCAGCCUUCUUCAUGGCAAAUAACUUAUUGGAUUAGUUUUCGGUUCUUUUUAAUCAAG